CACUGUGUUAAUGAGAAGACAGUCCCUACUGAGUAAGAGGAAGAUAAGAAAAAUAAUACAAUAGAAUCUCCAUAAUUAAAACUGUCAUAUUUUGAGAUGCAUAACCAAGCCCAAGCAUUAUAGAAACAGAAGAUGAUCACAGUUGGAAGAUCUGUAGGAUGGGUUUGAUGAUUGAGCUUUGAUUGUGUCAUCUUUGUCUGAGAUAUAAAGGAGUAAUCUUUUACGAACUAGUUUACCAUCCAGCAAUCAAGAGAUGAUAGCUACAUAAAGAAAUCACUCAGUGUAGGAUACACUCCAU
rnacentral:lncRNA from 12 species